rnacentral:lncRNA from 1 species
UUUAAUUAACAUCAAUAAUAUUUUUUACAGGUUAUAAAACCACAUAUUCCUCUAAUAAAAUUCAAUAGAAGAGGUAAAGAAGCUGCUCAAGGAAUUAAUAGUAAACAAACUUCUGGAACAAUAACUAGCACUCACGAUAAAGGAAAAGAAGUUUUUAUCUUAGAAGAUGAUACACAAUUGCCUGCAAGAUAUCAUCGGAAGCCUCUUACGCAACAAGAAAUAGAAUAUAUAGAACUACCCAGUUAUUAACAUGGAGAAUUUCCAGACAGGUAUCCAUCCUUUGUUGAGCAAUGGAUGGAUGAUGAGUGAUCAAUUCUGGAACUUAACUUGAAAUGCCACGUGUCAUACCAUACAAUGGACUUUUUUCAAGUAUUUUUUUGACCGUCGUCAAAAGGAAUUUUCGACAUUCUAACUUGAAAUAUCCCUUUUCUUUCUCACAAAUUUUUAUCAUGUUCAGAUAUUU